rnacentral:tRNA from 1 species
CAAGAGGAAGUUUUUUAAAAUAUUAAUUUUGGAGAUUGAAGAUAAUACAGGAGUAUUUCUCUUGA